rnacentral:rRNA from 1 species
UACGUAGGGUGCAAGCGUUAAUCGGAAUACUGGGCGUAAAGCGUGCGCAGGCGGUGAUGUAAGACAGAUGUGAAAUCCCCGGGCUCAACCUGGGAACUGCAUUUGUGACUGCAUCGCUGGAGUACGGCAGAGGGGGAUGGAAUUCCGCGUGUAGCAGUGAAAUGCGUAGAUAUGCGGAGGAACACCGAUGGCGAAGGCAGCCUCCUGGGCCAACACUGACGCUCAUGCACGAAAGCGUGGGGAGCAAACAGG